GAGGCGUCAGGGUUCCUGGUGGUCCCCUUGGUCUUCAAAACCAAUGGGCGGCGCACCGCGUCGCCGGCGGGUUCGAUUCCCGUACGCCUCC
rnacentral:tRNA from 1 species